AAAAAUCGCUUGAAUUGUCGUUCAUGACAUUUUUUUGUUUGUACAUCCGGGUGAGGGACAAGUUAUGGUGGUUUCUCAGUUAGCUCACAUGUUCCCUUGUCUAUCAUUCCCUUACCAUUUUCUUUUGAACCACUUAAUUCAGGGUUUCCUAAGGAAGUAUUAGGCUCAUUGGUUUUUUCUAAUUCAACCAUCUAGUAUUUUCC
rnacentral:lncRNA from 1 species